AGAGAUACGAUAGAUGCAAAACGA
rnacentral:rasiRNA from 1 species